rnacentral:rRNA from 1 species
UAUCUGCCUAUGUGUCUUGACCAAAUUACGUGCCAGCAGUCGCGGUAAUACGUAGAAGACUAGUGUUAUUCAUGUUUAAUCGGUUUAAAGGGUACCUAGACGGUAAAUCAAGCCUAAAAAGAAAUAAUGGAAGGGACUAAUUUACUAGAGUUACUUAUGAGGGGGCUAUAAUGUACAGCUGGUGUAGAGAUGAAAUUCUGUCAUACCUCUUUUCAAUAGAAAAAAUAAAGGCACAGGUAUAGGCGAAAGCAUCUCCUUAUGUGAUAACUGACGUUGAGGGACGAAGGCUUUGUGUAGCGAACAGGAUUAGAUACCCCAGUAGUCUAAGCAGAAAAUGAUGAAUGUCA